GAGGACCGUAUUCAUGGAAGAGGAUCGAACAGAGAUGAAGUAGACAGUAUGUUGGAUAAAUCUGAAGACAUGAAAUAGGCAGUAUGUUGGAUAAAUCUGGAGGUCUCUGCUAAGAAAAACUGAGAACUUCACUGUAAGUGCAAGAGUUUGAACAGACUGGCUCCUAGCAGAAAUCAGGAAGGCCAAGGAAAUGGAGACCCUGAAGAACAUCAACAACAAAUUUUGUGAGCAGUAUAUAACUACAUUUCAGAAGUCUUAUAUGGAUGUACAGAAAUUCAAUGAGGAAAAAGAAAAAUCAGUGAAUAGUUGUCAAAAAGAACAACAAGCAUUGAAACUGUCCAAAUGUAGUCAGAACCAGACCCUGGAAGCAGGUAAAGAAAUGCAUGAGAAGUCCAUGGAGCUGCAUCAUUGGACUCAAACUGAAUGGUCCAUGUGUUGCCACUGAUGUGAGCCAUU
rnacentral:lncRNA from 1 species